rnacentral:rRNA from 1 species
GGGAAUUUCUGGUGUACCGGUGAAAUGCGUAGAGAUCAGAAGGAACACCAAUGGCGAAGGCAACAUUCUGGACCAAUACUGACACUGAGGGACGAAAGCGUGGGGAUCAAACAGGAUUAGAUACCCUGGUAGUCCACGCUGUAAACGAUGAGUACUAGCUGUUGGAUUCGGUGUAAAGGAUCUAGUGGCGUAGCUAACGCGUUAAGUACUCCGCCUGGGGACUACGGCCGCAAGGCUAAAACUCAAAGGAAUUGACGGGGACCCGCACAAGCGGUGGAGCAUGUGGUUUAAUUCGAUGCAACGCGAAGAACCUUACCUGGUCUUGACAUCCUGCGUACUUUCUAGAGAUAGAUUGGUGCCUUCGGGAACGCAGUGACAGGUGCUGCACGGCUGUCGUCAGCUCGUGUUGUGAAAUGUUGGGUUAAGUCCCGCAACGAGCGCAACCCCUAUUGAUAGUUACCAUCAUUAAGUUGGGUACUCUAUUGAGACUGCCGCUGACAAGGCGGAGGAAGGUGGGGACGACGUCAAGUCAUCAUGGCCCUUACGACCAGGGCUACACACGUGCUACAACUGGGUAUUACAGAGGGCAGCGAAGUAGCGAUAUGGAGCGAGGCUCAGAAAGGUACUCUUAGUCCGGAUUGCAGUCUGCAACUCGACUCCAUGAAGUCGGAAUC